CACCGGCGGCUCGAGUGGUGGCCACUUUUAUUGGGUCUAAAGCGUCCGUAGCCGGCUUGGCAAGUCCCCUGGGAAAUCUGGCGGCUUAACCGUCAGGCGUCCAGAGGAUACUGCCAGGCUUGGGACCGGGAGAGGUGAGAGGUACCUCAGGGGUAGGGGUGAAAUCUUGUGAUCCCUGGAGGACCACCUAUGGCGAAGGCACUCGCCUGGAACGGGUCCGACGGUCAGGGACGAAAGCUGGGGGCACGAACCGG
rnacentral:rRNA from 1 species